rnacentral:sRNA from 1 species
GCUGGGUGUGGGGGUGCAUGCCUGUAAUCCUAGCAACUGGGAAGGCUGAGGCAGGAAGGUCCCAAGUUGAAGGCCAGUGUUGGCAACAUAGUGAGACUCUUAGCAAAUCAGUGAGAUCUUGUCUCAA